GGAUGCGCGCGCACAAUGGCCACGUAUAACAUCACGCGACAUAGAAAAAGAAUCGAGAGAGACAACCAAGACGAAGUACGAAAGCAUUGCUGUUUAAAUUUAUGUGAAGAUAUGGACGGUGAAAUGAAAUACGAAGGAAGAAGAUAAAGAAUACGGGAAAGAAAAACGACAACAUUUCUCGUAUUCUAUAGUAGUUCAAACGUAGACGUAUACACAUACAAAUGCAUUUAUACACGUAGUUUUUAUGCUACGCGCAGACUCGUGUCGGCCAUCGAAGUUUGUUUUCAAUCGGCCGACAUCGCGUGAACUUGUUGCCCGUAUAAUCUGUAUGGUAUUGCGUCCGAUAAGAAGAUGAAAAAUAGACGGAUAAAGACGGGACAAGAGGUGAGGAUAUAUUUGCCAUAGCGAGACAACAACUGCGUAUCUUGUGCUGCGUAGUGAAGUUAAAGCAGAACCAUCACGGUAUACGGACGCGCGUAGUAUGUUACGUAAUUCACCGGCUGCUUUAAACGAGAUUCGUUCGUCUCUUCUCUCUUAUAACUUUCAUUUGUAAAUUUAUAUUUUUACGAAGAUAAUGUUAGUUUAUGUGUAUAUAUAUGUACGUAUAUAUAUAAAAAGGAUAAAUUAAUAAGUUUAGCAAUGGAUGAUUUUGAACUAAUUUAAAAUAAUAGGUUAUAAAAAUACGAUAAAGUAUUUUAAACGAGCUGUGUAAGCUUGGAAGAUAAUUUUUAAUAUACCAAUAUGUAUAUGAUUGUAUCGGAUAGGAUGAUUUAUGCGAUACGAAUAUAAUACAAUAAAGAUAAAGUUAUAU